UUUGCCUUGACCCAGUUGACUCACAGAAAUAUCUCUCAAAACCAUAAAUUUCAAGCUGUUGGACUUGGGUGGGCUUUUGCUGAUUCUGUUUUACAUAGACUGGCACCUCUUUGGGUGGGAGCUCGAGGGCUAGAAUUCACUUGGGAUUACAUUCUGCAAGGCCUUGAAGCAAAUGCUAACCUGGUGCUGAGCAUUUCCCUUGCUGCAUUGGGAUCUCUGAUGUGGCUUCGCAAAAACAAACCCAAGACUUUGAUUCCCAUAAUAUAUGCAUG
rnacentral:misc_RNA from 1 species